GGGGGUAAUAGCUCAGUGUGUGGUAGAGCAUUCGACUGCAGAUCGAGAGGUCCCUGGAUCAAACCUGGAUGCUCCCU